GUAGGUGAACCUGCGGAAGGAUCAUUACAAAUUAGUUGUGGAUUUUGGGUGGUGUAAAGUGUGAUUUGUGAAGUGAAGUGUGAAGUGUGGUAUUUCGAUAUUACAUUACACAUGCAUACAUUAAUUACAUUACUUGCACUGCUCAUUAUCCGUUAUAGCCCACUCCUGAAAGGGAGAUGGACGCGCUAGUGCUAGUUCACUGGCGCAAAUAGACCUUAAAUCAUGACUUAUUCCAAAAAGAAAAUAACCAAAACUUUUAACAAUGGAUCUCUUGGCUCUU
rnacentral:misc_RNA from 1 species